UUUAUCUUAACAUCCAGCCGGGGACAACUUUCCUGUGAUUGUUGGCUUAACAUUGGUGCAUUCAGAUUUUGCAGGGCCUUCACUUCCGGAGUAUACGAGGUCGAUGUCAGCAAGUUCAACUUUUUCGCAUGGGAGGCCAGUACUGCAAGAAAGUUGAACAGCAAUAGGUGUUGUAGUAGUGCCUUUUAUAUUUUUGAAGGUAAUAUCGCUAAUUUUGACUUUUGAUGGUGCGUCCU
rnacentral:lncRNA from 1 species